UAGCUCAGUUGGUAGAGCAGUUGGCUUUUAACCAAUUGGUCGCUGGUUCGAAUCCAGCACGGCCCACCA
rnacentral:tRNA from 1 species